rnacentral:rRNA from 2 species
GUGCGAGACCGAUAGCGAACAAGUACCGUGAGGGAAAGAUGAAAAGAACUUUGAAAAGAGAGUUAAAGAGUACCUGAAACUGCUGAAAGGGAACCGAAUCGUUUCUAGUGUCUAUAAUCUGUGACAUAUUUCAUUGGGGAGUGUGUGCGUGUGUAUACCAUGGCAGUGGCUAAUUUAUUGGCUGCGCUAGGUGUGCGUGCUGUAUGUGCUUACUGGUGCCCUGUGUUACGGUGGGACGUCAAAGUAGGUUUGUAUGCUGCGGGAAAUGGCUACUGAGGAGGUAGGGCUUACGCUUGCGUUUGUCUGUUAUAUCUUGGUGGUUGUGUCGUGGUUGAGACUGAGGUGUUCUAUAACGUGCUUUUGAGUGGGUCUGAUUCUCCGUGUGUACCGUGUGCAGAUAGCUUGCUAUGUGUGUGUGGUUAUAUGUGGAUUGAGUCGGACUUUAACUUGUUGCUGUUCGGGACUUUGAA